GCAUUGUUGACGAGUCCCAAAUAGGACGAAACAGCUGUCCAGUGC
rnacentral:hammerhead_ribozyme from 1 species